rnacentral:pre_miRNA from 12 species
CUUGACAUUGGAAAUUAUUGCUCGCUUCGUUUUAGAAUUUGUACGCUUUGUUGUAAUUUUUUUAAAAAUCACAAAGCAUAUGGAUUCUUGAGCGGAUUGUGCAAUACAAGCUACUACAGAUGG